AUGAACUUUAGAGUUAGUAUCCUCAAGUUACUUUUUAACUGCAUUACUAGACAGCGGUUGGCUUUCAGUUACCAGGUUUUUCAGGUUUUGCUGCUGUUAAUUGUAUUUGGUAAGUUGCCUCUCAUUGUGCUUGUCGUCGGAACCAGCAACAGCAGAAGCUUGCCUGCUGCCCUACCUCUUCAGCAAUCUGAUGGAUUUACAGGCUUGUUUGUUUCAUUGGUGGCUUGCUGCUCGGGUUCUUUGUUGAUUUUGUUGGAUGUGUGUUGUUUACCAACAAGGAGCUUCAUAAGGGUUGCUCACCGAUGA
rnacentral:rRNA from 1 species